rnacentral:tRNA from 1 species
GGAGUGUGUUGUCUCCCUGGUGGGGGCCUCGGUCUUCAAAACCGUUGAGGGCUCGAAAGAGUCCUGGUUGGUUCGAUUCCUUCCCACUCCGCCA